rnacentral:tRNA from 1 species
GCCUGGGUGGCUCAGUCGGUUGAGCGUCCGACUUGGGCUCAGGUCACGAACUCGCAGCCUGUGGGUUCGAGCCCCGCAUCGGGCU